GCAAGUCAUGAGGUUGGUUCUCCAGUCAUUGUUGUUCUGCACUGAGGAAACUGAAGCAUAGAAACAGCUAAUAGUGAGAAUGACAAUACAACUUUGUGUAUUGUCUGGACCCCAAUUUAUAAUGGAUCCUUCUGGCUGGAUUUAGGAUAGUGACCCUACUUCAACCAUAUAAGCAAGGUUAUAAUCCUAGGAAUUUGCAAACAGAAGGAGCCACACAGAAGGAACCUACAUCCCUGGAUGACACUGAAGACAAGAGGCAUUUACCUGCCUACUCCAUGGACUGUAAAGUGGAAAAAAUGACCUAUAGUUUUUGAGCCAUUCCAUUUAUGUUUUUGUCUUUAUUUUGUUUGCAGCAACUUACUUGGAUCCAGGUAAUCACAUCCAACCUAGGGGUAGGGCCCUUGCUGUGAAUGACUAAUCAAUAUUUAUAACUUCAAAGACUUGACCUGCUUUAAGGUGCAAAUAGCUCUGGUCAAUUUUGGUGACUUGUAUCGGAAGGCAGUUAAUCAGGUAAACAAAAGAUAGUUUUCAAAGAAAAUUUUCUUCAGGAGGAAAAUGUUACGGCAUUAUUUAUCCUUUAUCUUUUAUUGGUUGGGGAACAAAUAGAUGAAGGAAGAAAAACUGAGGGCUGUACAAAUAGAAACUGCUUGCUGAUGCUGUCCUGGCUUCUGUGGUAAGAAUGUCUUUUAGAGACCCUGGGACAAAAAGCAACACUGAAAAAUCUAAGAUGUGUGGCAAUUCUUUGAUAUCAAAAAUCAUUGAAUGGUUCUUUUCUAAAUUCCUAACUCCCUGUUUUGCAGACAUCACUUCCUGAUGACUCUAAUUAUUUUGUUGUAUCACAGUGAUGUUUUGCCAGCCAGUAGAAACACAGUAUUAGUCCACAUAGUAGUAUUAAAAAAACUUUAAGCUAGGAUAAGAACUACGUGUCUUUGAGCUGUCUACACUGAACCUGGUAUGUGACAUGUUAUGAUAAUAAUAAUGGUAAUGCUAAUAAUAGUAAUGAUAUUACAGGAAUAACAAAAGAGUCCUUUCAUCUCAAAAGCAUGGGUCUAACUUACUCUCUGUGUCUCAAAAGUUUAACAUCAUUUUUCUAGUCCGGUAAUAGAUUGGUUUUGCACCAGGGUAAUAGUUCCUCUUAGUUCCCUCUAUAAUGUGCAGUUGGGAGACACUUGACACUUCCCCCAGCCAGGGGGAUCAUAUGAAACUGGCCUGCAUUUAGUUUUAGCAGAAAAAAAAAUCUAAAUAAUGGAACUAAUCAUUCAAACUGUAAAAAGUACAUAUGCAGAAUUACUAGUAUUUACUUGAUUUUCCUGCCAACCUUCAUUAUGUUACUUCAUAAGAAGAUAAGAAAAGGAAUAUCAUUUGUACCUAGAUCAUUGGAUGCACAGUAAUGCUUAGUUACCAAUUCAUGACUUUGUGAAAAAUAUUCCCAAAGGACAGCAUACUCUUCCUAUGUAACACCACUGAACAAAUCACUGCCACAUGUGUCCUUUGGUGUAUCUGUGGCCUGAGAAUUAUUUAAGGGCCAAAUUUAUAUCCUAUUCUUUAACUACCAAGUGAUCUUCCUUCCCUAAUUAAACAGAUACUCAGAGCAACAACUCACAAAUGAUGUUCUUAAAUGACACUAAAAGUCUCAGGCAAGAUCUCAUUGAACUGUUGCUGAAUCCUUGGUUACAGAGUUUUUUCUUUAUAACAUCUGAAUUAGUUUCAUGGCUGAAACUAUAAUUGGCCUCUCAAAUGUGGUAGUGAGAGAUCUGGCUUAGUGACAGAAAGACCAAAAUCAGUAAAUGAGGGAAAAUAACAACCUAGAGAAUAAUGACUGAAAGAAGAACAUUAAUACUAAAUAAUGAAGAAGAAUGUAAACAGAUAAGAGACUCAGAAAGCCCUAGAUCUUUAAAAGGCUGAAAGAGGGAGGGCAAAGAUAAAAAAUGAUAAGACCUGUCAAGAAGAACAAAGUCAAUGUGUGUACAUUAUUCAGUUUAAGGAAUUAGAGUCACAAGGUCAAGUGUGGGUAACAGUAAAUAUGAAUGAUGAGGAAUAAAAUAAGUAAAAAGCAAGCUAGUUUCAUAAAUCAAUUCCACAGCAACUUAGCUGGGGGGAGGUGAAAGGAGAAUGGAGGAUAACCCAUUGGAGCCUGUUGAAAUGUCAAGAUCUAUUACCAAUUACUAAAUAUCAACGUGUUCAUGCAAAAUCCCAGUGUUCAGGGUCAUAAAACAGUGCAUUCCAUGGACCAGUGGGGAUUAUCUAAUUUGCACUUUGAAGUGCACUUAAACAAAACAAGAGAAAACAUGGGCAUUUGUAGCAAGAGGAAAACAUACAUUAGAAGAUAAGUAGAAUGAAAGAACAUAUAAGCCCCCAUCUCAGCCUAUUAUCCCAGGAUGGUCUCUGAGCCCACCUUGGAGGGGACCCCAUUUCUGCUUCUUUGGCUGUACAAUGCCAAGGAAGAAGCUGCUAUAAAAGACAAGCAAAGGGGGAGGUCUGGAAUGAAGAUUUGGGCAAGAGUCCAUACGCCAAGGUUAAGGGCCAGAACUUCUGCUCUUUGCACUCUCCCACUGGGAGCUGUACAGGCAGGAGAAACAGGGAUGGGCCCCUUGGGGAAGAAGGGGACACUAGAGUUGGCCACUAACAACAGAUUAAAGCCCAAUGUAAACAGUGUGCUGGACACAUGUGGGUUGUAGAGAGAGUGGUGAUGAAUAAGCCUGUAUCCAGGCAAGGACUUCAAACAGGAGGAGGCUGAGCAAUGAUGAAAAUGAUUCAGUGCCCUCAGAAAUGACUCAUGAGAGGAACAGAAUGUGAAGAAAACAAAGAAGAAAUGUCCACAUUUAUCAAGCACUUGACAAAUGAUGGGGGAUGCACAAUUAGGGAGAGCAAAUCAUUGGAACAGAGUAAAGACAAGAAGGGAGGCCAUAGGCAGUCUGAAAAGAAGAAAUCCAGGGAUGCAAGGGCAGCAGUAUCAUAGAGUGGAUUAAUCCGCUCUCACUGAAUUAUGGUCAACACAAAUUAAUCUUGCAGUCCAAUUGAUUUAACACUGAACUGGACUGUAAAAUUCAGGGAAUGCUGAUUCUGUUUGACUAGCAUUGGUCUCUACCUAUUUUGUGAACAUCUCCAUUCUCAGGCUCUUUCUCCCUUUAGGUAGGGCUGAUCUCCAGCAGGUCUGCUCUGGUAGAGCCUAAUCAGGUAUAUGCCGAUGCCAUACCUGACUGGGUAAUGUUUAUAUAAUACUUGUUGCUACAUGUUUUCGUUAUCAUUUCUACCUUCAAGUAUUCAGAUAACAUUCUGAACCCAUUUGAACUAAACUUUUUUAAAUGACCUAAUUGAUACCUGUGUUUUGGACUAACUAUUCUAAUCUGUUAUCUUUCUCUCUCUCUCUCUUUUUUUUUUUUGGUAUUGCCCAAUCUUUCUAAAUCACUCCUUGUACUAUGUCUUCCAUGUCUCUGAGUGACUAGAGAGACCAGAGCUUGUAACUGAACAUGGCACAUGAAUAAGGGGGAAAAAUCCAAAACAGGCAUUGGUUGUGUUGUUACUGAGGCUUCAGGAUGGGUUUGUUACUGCACUGCAUAACCUAGCUUAUACUGAUUGAUACAUUCACUUUAAGCUAACGUUGUAUAAUGUGUAUUAUAAGUCUGGACCUACAGCCUUCAGUUUUAUUCACAAAGAACUAUCCAUAGAAUUAGUACCAUAUAUGAUUCUGUAUGCAUAUUAUAGAUAAACCCUAGAUCAGAUAAUAGAGUUUCCCCAAUUGUGCAUUUAAUAAUUAAAUGAAUGUUUGUGGACUAAAUGAAUGAAUGAAUGAAAAUGACAAUAAAAUGGUA
rnacentral:lncRNA from 1 species